rnacentral:rRNA from 1 species
CCUACGGGUGGCUGCAGUGGGGAAUAUUGGACAAUGGGGGGAACCCUGAUCCAGCCAUGCCGCGUGUGUGAAGAAGGCCCUCGGGUUGUAAAGCACUUUCAGUGAGGAAGAACGCCUGGUGGUUAAUACCCAUCAGGAAAGACAUCACUCACAGAAGAAGCACCGGCUAACUCCGUGCCAGCAGCCGCGGUAAUACGGAGGGUGCGAGCGUUAAUCGGAAUUACUGGGCGUAAAGCGCGCGUAGGUGGCUUGAUAAGCCGGUUGUGAAAGCCCCGGGCUCAACCUGGGAACGGCAUCCGGAACUGUCAAGCUAGAGUGCAGGAGAGGAAGGUAGAAUUCCCGGUGUAGCGGUGAAAUGCGUAGAGAUGGGGAGGAAUACCAGUGGCGAAGGCGGCCUUCUGGACUGACACUGACACUGAGGUGCGAAAGCGUGGGUAGCAAACAGGAUUAGAUACCCUGGUAGUC